rnacentral:rRNA from 1 species
UACGUAGGGGGCAAACGUUGCUCGGAAUUACUGGGCGUAAAGGGUGAGUAGGCGGCUGGGCAAGUCAAGGAUGAAAUCCCGCGGCUUAACUGCGGAACUGUCCUUGAAACUGCCUAGCUUGAGGAUAGUUGAAGAAAAGGGAAUUCCCGGUGGAGCGGUGAAAUGCGUAGAUAUCGGGAGGAACACCUGAGGCGAAGGCGCUUUUCUAAGCUACUCCUGACGCUGAAUCACGAAAGCUAGGGGAGCAAACGGG